rnacentral:rRNA from 1 species
AUUGAACGCUGGCGGCAGGCUUAACACAUGCAAGUCGCGCGAGCGGAGGACGGGUGAGUAAUGUCUGGGAAAGUGACUGAGGGAGGGGGAUAAGUAACGGAAGCGGUUGCUAAUACCGCAUCACAUCAGAUAUGCCCAGAUGGGAUUAGCUAGUAGGUGGGGUAAAGGCACACCUAGGCGACGAACCCUACCGUGUCUAAGAGGAUGACAAGCCAAACUGUACCUGAGACUCGGUCCAGACUCCUACGUGAGGCAGCAGUGGGGAAUAUUGUACAAUGGGCGCAAGCCUGAUGCAGCCAUGCCGCGUGUGGGAAGAAGGCCUUCGGGUUGUAAAGCACUUUCAUCGGGGAGGCGUUACUCGCAGAAGAAGCACCGGCUAACUCCGUGCCAGCAGCCGCGGUAAUAC